GGGGGUGGCAUCAAGGCCUCCUUCCUGGAGGAGGAGCUGGAGGCCCAACAGUGGGAACAGGCAGGGCUGGAUGGCAUUGGAGGGAAGGCGGGUUCCUGUGUGAGCAAAGAUCCGGGACCAUCCCAGUGCCCCACUCCUCACCCCCUCUUGUCUGCAUCCUGUCCUUCCUCUGCCCCAGGACAAUUUCAUCCUACAAGAGAUGAUGAUCUACAAGUACGUGGCCGGGCUGUAUGACCUGGAGCCCGAGGAGCACGUCAUGUCAUUUCUCCAGGCCGUGGAGCCCCUGGAUGAGGAGGAGAGCUACAGCCUGUCCUGCCAGCUGGAGCCCCCAGGCCAGGGCGCCGGCAUAAAGGGACUGUUGCAGUUCUUCGGGUCCCACAAGAUUUAAACUUCCUGGCCAGGGCCAGCUUCUGUCAUCGGGCCCUCGGCCCUGCUGGUGUCCUGGCUGCAUGAGGAGGAGAGCUUCUUCCCCUUCAGGCAGGCGGCACCUGACGCGCCAGGACCCCAGUCUGCUUGCUGCUCCUCCUCCUCCCGCUGCUCAUCCUGAGCCUCUGCUGGGCAGCUGCUCUGGCACCUCCUCCAUCGGCAGACUCGGGCAGCUCCCCAGGC